CAAAAUAUAGCUUAACCAAAGCAUCUUGCUUACACCGAGAAAAUAUUCAUUUAAUCUGAAUUAUUUUGA
rnacentral:tRNA from 1 species